rnacentral:rRNA from 1 species
UACGUAGGGGGCUAGCGUUGUCCGGAUUUAUUGGGCGUAAAGAGCGUGUAGGCGGCCAGAUAGGUCUGCUGUGAAAACUCGAGGCUCAACCUCGAGAUGUCGGCGGAAACCAUUUGGCUAGAGUCCGGAAGGAGGAAAGUGGAAUUCCUGGUGUAGCGGUGAAAUGCGUAGAUAUCCGGAGGAACACCGGUGGCGAAGGCGGCUUUCUGGACCGACACUGACGCUGAGGCGCGAAAGCUAGGGGGAGCAAACGGG